rnacentral:rRNA from 1 species
GACGAACGCUGGCGGCGUGCUUAACACAUGCAAGUCGAACGGAAAGGCCCUGCUUUUGUGGGGUGCUCGAGUGGCGAACGGGUGAGUAACACGUGAGUAACCUGCCCUUGACUUUGGGAUAACUUCAGGAAACUGGGGCUAAUACCGGAUAGGAGCUCCUGCUGCAUGGUGGGGGUUGGAAAGUUUCGGCGGUUGGGGAUGGACUCGCGGCUUAUCAGCUUGUUGGUGGGGUAGUGGCUUACCAAGGCUUUGACGGGUAGCCGGCCUGAGAGGGUGACCGGCCACAUGGGGACUGAGAUACGGCCCAGACGCCUACGGGAGGCAGCAGGGGGGAAUAUGGCACAAUGGGCGGAAGCCUGAUGCAGCAACGCCGCGUGCGGGAUGACGGCCUUCGGGUUGUAAACCGCUUUCGCCUGUGACGAAGCGUGAGUGACGGUAAUGGGUAAAGAAGCACCGGCUAACUACGUG